AGAGUUUGAUCAUGGCUCAGGACGAACGCUGGCGGCGUGCUUAACACAUGCAAGUCGAGCGGUAAGGCCCUUCGGGGUACACGAGCGGCGAACGGGUGAGUAACACGUGGGUAACCUGCCCUGUACUCUGGGAUAAGCCUGGGAAACUAGGUCUAAUACCGGAUAUGACUCCACUAGGCAUCUUGUGGGGUGGAAAGUUCCGGCGGUACAGGAUGGACCCGCGGCCUAUCAGCUUGUUGGUGGGGUAAUGGCCUACCAAGGCGACGACGGGUAGCCGGCCUGAGAGGGUGACCGGCCACACUGGGACUGAGACACGGCCCAGACUCCUACGGGAGGCAGCAGUGGGGAAUAUUGCACAAUGGGCGAAAGCCUGAUGCAGCGACGCCGCGUGAGGGAUGACGGCCUUCGGGUUGUAAACCUCUUUCAGCAGGGACGAAGCGCAAGUGACGGUACCUGCAGAAGAAGCACCGGCUAACUACGUGCCAGCAGCCGCGGUAAUACGUAGGGUGCGAGCGUUGUCCGGAAUUAUUGGGCGUAAAGAGCUCGUAGGCGGUUUGUUGCGUCGGCUGUGAAAACUUCACGCUUAACGUGGAGCCUGCAGUCGAUACGGGCAGACUUGAGUUCGGCAGGGGAGACUGGAAUUCCUGGUGUAGCGGUGAAAUGCGCAGAUAUCACGAGGAACACCGGUGGCGAAGGCGGGUCUCUGGGCCGAUACUGACGCUGAGGAGCGAAAGCGUGGGGAGCGAACAGGAUUAGAUACCCUGUAGUCCACGCCGUAAACGGUGGUGCUAGGUGUGGGGGACUUCCACGUCCUCCGUGCCGCAGCUAACGCAUUAGCACCCCGCCUGGGGAGUACGGCCGCAAGGCUAAAACUCAAGAAUUGACGG
rnacentral:rRNA from 1 species